GGGUUAAGUCCCGCAACGAGCGCAACCCUUGCCUUUAGUUGCCAGCAGUUCGGCUGGGCACUCUAAAGGGACUGCCGGUGUUAAACCGGAGGAAGGUGGGGAUGACGUCAAGUCCUCAUGGCCUUUAUGACCAGGGCUACACACGUACUACAAUGGCCGAUACAAAGGGCAGCGACACUGCGAGGUGAAGCCAAUCCCGUAAAAUCGGUCUCAGUCCGGAUUGGAGUCUGCAACUCGACUCCAUGAAGUUGGAAUCGCUAGUAAUCGUGGAUCAGCAUGCCACGGUGGAUACGUUCCCGGGCCUU
rnacentral:rRNA from 1 species